rnacentral:lncRNA from 1 species
UAGUGCAAAUAAACAUAGCAUAACUAGCAAAAUCCAUUUAAUAUCCGAGUUCUCUGAAGCUCCAAACAUAAGUUUGAUAAAACAGUAACAUAAAAGGCUAAUCAAGCAAAUAGAAUAUAUCAGUACAGAAGUUUGAAAACAAAUUAUAUUUAAAUGGUAACCAAAAACGGAAAAACUUAACGUUUCCCACCACCACCGCCCAUUUUAGGACCCUUGGGCAUAGCACCCUUCUGAACAUUGCCUUUCCCUGACUUUUGUGCCUUAGAUGCUACUUCGGCUUUCUUGGCUUUUUUCUCAUCCUUGGUUUUCUUUAUCCUCUCCUUGAUUUCACUGCAGGAUUGACUCGGUGAUUAGAUUUGUCAUCAAUAAUUGUGUAACAGGAAAAACAGGAACAGACAAGACUAACAACCCAAAAACAGUGAUGAAAUUACAUGGCUGAUUUAAAAAGAUAUGAACAUGUUAGAAAACAGUGUCCCUAAAAAAAGAGUUCUCAAAGAGUCGGCAUAAUAAAAAGGAAACACACCGAAGAGCAGCUUCCCUAGCAGCAUCUCGAACCUCGGGCUUCUCGGUUCUUUUUUUUUGAAUGACUUCAAGUGUAGCACCAACAAUGGACCUGGAGUAUGGCUUCUUGGUGGCACGGCGCCUCUUCUUCACCGCUUCUUGAGCAAUGUCCUGCAAGACAGAUGCAUAAAAUCAAUUAACGUGCAUACAGUAAGUAGUAAAAUUACUGGACAAGGCUAUCUGAUAGUUAGGUCAAAUUCAACACAAGUAACCACAACAAUGUAACUAGGUUCAUGGAUGGAUAUUUCAUUACAACAUGUUCAGAAGCUUAAUUUAGCUUUACACUGUAAUUGUUCAAUACAUAUUACAAACAUCAGUUAAAUAGUUACACAAUCACCUUCUUGUGCUGCUUUCUGUACAUGGCAGUCCAUGUGAGCUUUGAAGGCUUCAACUUGUUGUGGAAAUACCUCUUACAUUUUGAGUUCACAAAGAGGAAAACCUGUAAAAACAAUAAAAAAUAAAAAAAAAAAAAAAAAAAAAAAACCUUAUAUCAAUAAAACUAAGAUUGAACACAUCAAAAAACAAAAAAACUGGUAUUCAUUCAAAUAAAGAAAUGCAUCAAUCCAAAAUCCAACAUGAGUCAUUUUUAUCUCACCUGAGAAUCACUACGAAUAAAUCUGAUCCCUCUUCCUGGGUAAAUCUUUGCGCCACUGAAUCGACAGAGUUCAGUUCUGAAAUGGAAACAUCAAUUCAGUGAAUGGUCUUCUAAUAGCUAAUUAUUUCCAACAUUCUUAAAAGUUACGCAUCAUAUCUAAUGUACUUCGAAUAGCUAAUUUAAAGAAUAACAUUAUCAGAUUUCAAAAGCCACUCAUUAAAAAUUGAAAUUGCACAAGGAAAAAGGUUGCAAAAACAUAUCUAAAUUUCAAUAGCAUCAAAAAUUGCAAACAAGUUUUAAUCUAAAUCAACCAAAGAUAUAAUGGGUACUUGAAAAUGUUUAAUACAAUAUCAUUUCAGAAUUAAUAACUAUCACAUUCUAAACAAUAAAUACCAAACAAAUUUUUAAACUUUAGAAGCAAAACCCUACAACAAUCAUAGAACACUGUUAUGAAUAAAAUAUGCCACAAUUUUACAUUCAAUCAAAUUCUCAAAUACAAUAAAACUAAAUCUAGAUUUAUGAACUAAACCCUACGGCAACAAAAUAGAGAAAACAAAUCAACAAUAAACCCUAAAACUGUAAGCGUGAAUGAUGGAAGAAAAUGAAGAAGUAAAACUUACUUGAGAACCAUGGCUGCUUCGUCGCUGUGGUGGCUGCUCUUUGUAAAUGUAAACCCGUUUUCAUCUCUCUCUCUCUCUCCAUCUAUAUACCCGUUUCUGAAUUGGGCCCAUUGAAAUAACCCGGUGUUAUUCAAUUGUAUUUUUAACACCUUAUACUUGCCUCUCUUACCCCCCAAAAUAUUAUGGAAUGAGUUUUUUCUUUUUUUAAAUAAUAAAUUUUACAUACAAAAGGUUAUAUGGUCAUUAUAAAUAUAGUUAAAAUUUGUGUUUGAUUAUGUUCGUUAAACAGUUAAUAAAUAUUACAAUCAUGUUUAAUGUAGUCAAAUUAUUUUCAAAUAAAAAGCUGACAUCGAAUUCGACAAAAUUUUAUAUGGUCAAUAAACUUAUUUUUAAUAAAAAUUGAUUAAUUUAUUGAAAGGUAAAUUUUCCUCAAGUAAAUUUUCCUCUUCUCGUGUAUCUCCUGCACAAACGCCAGAUAAUAUUUUUAACCUUAAGUAGAAUUUUGAGAUUCCAAAUUAAAUAUCAUUGUCCAUUCACUUUGAAAUGAAAUGUAUCAACUAGCUCUUAGGAGGAUAUGCACGUUUAACGUUAUAUUAUCUAUUUCUUUCUGCUCUCAUUUAAAACUGAAGUAGAUAGAGGAGUAUUUGUAAUUUUAGCCACACUCCCUUGAGAUUCCAAGUCUUAUUUUCCCUAGUAAAAUUGAUUUUACUAGAAAGGGAAUUGAAGGUAAAGUGAUUUAUGUUUGUAUACAUUAAUAUAAAAGUGAGUUGAACAGCAAAUUUGAGUGUUAAAAUCAAUUAUAGACUCAAAAGUUUCAAUUUCUAGCUUUAAGUAGAAUCAAUUCUUGAGACAAUCAUUUCUACUCAAGAGCAACCAAACAUGCCAAAAUCAAUUCUAUAUUUCUAGAAUCAAAUUUUCUCCCUUUAGAUGUGUGUUUAUGUUUGGUGUUGCGGGAUAAGAAUUGAUUUGAGUAAUUUGAUUCUCUAAAAUUUAUUUUAGAUAGAAAGAGUUGAAUGUAAAGUGAUUUAUUUUUGGAUGAGUUUCAAUAAAAGUAGAUUUAACGAUAAAUAUAAAUUUAAGGUACUUAAAAUCAAUUGUAGAAGCCAAAAGCUUAUCGAUUCUCCUUCAUAUCAUUCAAACAUAAUAAAAUCAAUUAUACAAUCUCUGGAAUCACACCCUCCAUUUUUUAAACCAAAAAAAUGCCAUGUCUAUCUCUUUAUAACUUUUUUUUGACAAAGUAUCUCUUUUUAUUUAACUGUUAAAUAUUUUUUUUAUGAACUAUAAUUGUCAUAUUUUUGCUUCAAAAGCGGUUCCUAAGUUCAUCUCAUUAAUAUUCUUAACUUUCUGGUAAUGGGAUGGUCUAAGUGAAUCUCAAUAUUAAUUUUUUUUUGAGAGCAAGUGAAUCUCAAUAUUAUCGUGUGCAAGUUUUUUUUUAUUUGUUAUUGCCUACGUAAAGUUACAUAGUUUAAUCCCAUGUAUGGCAAAGGCCAAGUAGUUCCUCCUCCCCUAACUAGAUAAUGAUAUUUCGCUUCUAAUUUCGAAGGAAAAAAAAUCAAGAUUGCCUAUGUACAUCGAGUUGAAUAUGUAGGUCACCGAAAAUAAAACUAACAAUUGUACUACCUCCGUUCCUAAUUACAGGACACUUUUGAAAAAAUAAUGAAAAGAUAGUGAAUAUUUAUAUUAAAUAUGUUUGUAAUUACUAUUGUUUUUACAAUUUUAUCCUUUAAGAAAAGGUUGGUUUAUGUUUUAAACAUGUUAUUUAUUGCCGAUUGAAGAAAAAAAUGUAUAAUAAAUAAGGGCAUGUAUGUAAAAAAUAAUUAAUGUAGUUGGAAAUAGCAAAUGAAUCUUAUAAAAAAUGAUAAAAAAAAAUUCUCAAAAAGGUCUUAUAAUUAGGGAUGGAGGUGGUACACAAAAAUAUACCGAUGGUGAGCAUAUUCCCUUUCAUCUCAACGUUUGUCAUGUCCCUUAAAGAUAACUAUCCCCUAAUCGUUGAGUGAGAAACCAUUAUUGGUCUCUUCAGAGUCCCAAUGGGUGCAGGGUUUGCUUUUAAUUAUGUUUUUAAGAGACUCUAGGUUAGUUGUGGAGAAUCAAGUUCAAAAUUCAAAGCACAUUGCCUUAGAAGUUGGGAUUUAUUAGAGCUUGUACCAACAAUUUUAAUGCGUUUUCGAAUUUAGGAGACACGAAGAAUAAUAAUUCAUAAUUCAUCAUUAGUUGGCAAGAACAAUGGUUGUAACUUUAUGCUCCUAUUAAUAGAAUAAAUGAUUUUAAUUACUAUUGGAAAAAAUUGAUAUGAGGAAAGUAAUAUUUGGAUACGGAACUUGUAACCUCACUAGUCAUAUAAGCACGCUAUGAUUUGCAAAUUUUAUAACUAAAAAAUCCAUUCAUCUACUUCGCAACCAAAUUUUACAAUAAAAAUUGCUUUUAAUUUUAUCUCCACUAUUUGGCUUGAAAGAACCAGGAUUAGUGGGAAAGUUAAGCUACUGAAUUAAGCCGUCAUCUCUUAAAACAAUAUAUUCUGAGCUGAAUCUAAGCAUACCGAACAAGAGCCAAGUUCUGACCAAAAGUAAAACUUAUAUCCUUCAAAAAAAAGUAAAACUUAUAAUCAAACAUGCAAUUAAUAACUAACAUCAUAAGGGAUCAUUAGUGCAAAUAAACAUAACACAACUAGCAAAAUCCAUUUAAUUCCUGGGUUCUCUCUGAAGCUCCAAACAUAAGUUUGAUAAAACAGUAACAUAAAAGGCUGAUCAAGCAACAAAUAUAUUUAAAUAGUAAACAAAAAUAGAAAAACUUAACGCUUCCCACCACCACCGCCCAUUUUAGGACCCUUGGGCAUAGCACCCUUCUGAACAUUUCCUUUCCCCGACUUUUGUGCCUUAGAUGCUACCUCGGCUUUCUUGGCUUUCUUUUCAUCCUUGGUUUUCUUUAUCCUUUCCUUGAUUUCACUGCAGGAUUGACUCCAUGAUUAGAUUUGUCAUCAAUAAUUGUAACAGAAAAAACAGGAACAGAUAUGACAAAAAAAUAUGAACAUGUUAGAAAACAGCAAGUCCCUAAAAAAAGAGUUCUCAAUGAAUAAGCAUAAUGAACAUGUUAGAAAACAGUGUCCCUAAAAAAAGAGUUCUCAAAGAGUCGGCAUAAUAAAAAGGAAACACACCGAAGAGCAGCUUCCCUAGCUGCAUCUCGAACCUCGGGCUUCUCGGUUCUUUUUUUUUGAAUGACUUCAAGUGUAGCACCAACAAUGGACCUGGAGUAUGGCUUCUUGGUGGCACGGCGCCUCUUCUUCACCGCUUCUUGAGCAAUGUCCUGCAAGACAGAUGCAUAAUAUCAAUUAAAGUGCAUACAGUAAGUAGUAAAAUUACUGGACAAGGCUAUCUGAUAGAAUUAGGUCAAAUUCAACACAAGUAACCACAACAAUGUAACUAGGUUCAUGGAUGGAUAUUUCAUUACAACAUGUUCAGAAGCUUAAUUUAGCUUUACACUGUAAUUGUUCAAUACAUAUUACAAACAUCAGUUAAAUAGUUACACAAUCACCUUCUUGUGUUGCUUUCUGUACAUGGCAGUCCAUGUGAGUUUUGAAGGCUUCAACUUGUUGUGGAAAUACCUCUUACAUUUUGAGUUCACAAAGAGGAAAACCUGUAAAAACAAUAAAAAAAAAAAACUUAUUAUCAAUAAAACUAAUAUUGACCAAAUCAAAGCAAACACACAACUGAUAUUCAUUCAAAUAAAGAAAUGAAUCAACCCAUAAUUCAACAUGGCUCAUUUUUAUCUCACCUGAGAAUCACUACGAAUAAAUCUGAUCCCUCUUCCUGGGUAAAUCUUUGCACCACUGAAUCUGCAGAGUUCAGUCCUGAAAUGGAAAUAUCAAUUACUAACUUUCCCACACAAGGAUGCAAUAAAUAAAUUGAAAACACAACCACUAAUUCAAUAAAAAUGCAAUAACAGUGAAUGGUCCAGAAUCAACUAUUUCCAACAUUCUUCAAAGUUAAGCAUCAUAUCUGAUACACUUCUAAUAGCUAAUUUAAAGAACAACAUUAUCAGAUUUCAAAAGCCACUCAUUAAAAAUUGAAAUUGCACAAGGAAACAAGUUCCAAAAAAAUGUUGAAAAUUUCAAUUGCAUCAAAAAUUGCAAACAAGUUUUAAUCUAAAUCAACCAAAGCUAUAAUGGGUAUGUGAAAAUGUUUAAUAAAAUAUCAUUUCAGAAUUAAUAAUUAUCACAUUCUAAACAAUGAAUAAAAAACAAAUUUUUAGACUUUAGAAGCAAAACCCUACAACAAUCAUAGAACACUGUUUCGAAUAGAAUAUGCCACAAUUUUACAUUCAAUCAAAUUCUCAAAUACAAUAAAACUAAAUCUGGAUUCAUCAACUAAACCCUAAUAGAGAAAACAAAUCAACAAUAAACCAUGAAACAGUAUUUGUAAAUGAUGCAAGAAAAUUGAAGAUGCAAAACUUACUUGAGAACCAUGGCUGCUUCGUUGGUGUGGUGGCUGCUCCUUG